rnacentral:rRNA from 3 species
AACGACUCUCGACAACGGAUAUCUCGGCUCUCGCAUCGAUGAAGAACGUAGCGAAAUGCGAUACUUGGUGUGAAUUGCAGAAUCCCGUGAACCAUCGAGUCUUUGAACGCAAGUUGCGCCCGAAGCCAAUAGGCCGAGGGCACGUCUGCUUGGGUGUCACGCA